UACGUAGGUGGCAAGCGUUGUCCGGAUUUAUUGGGUUUAAAGGGUGCGUAGGCGGCCCUGUAAGUCAGUGCUGAAAUACCCCGGCUUAACCGGGAGGGUGGCAUUGAUACUGCGGGGCUAGAGUACAGAUGAGGUAGGCGGAAUUGACGGUGUAGCGGUGAAAUGCUUAGAUACCGUCAAGAACACCUAUAGCGAAGGCAGCUUACUAGGCUGUAACUGACGCUGAGGCACGAAAGUGUGGGGAUCAAACAGG
rnacentral:rRNA from 1 species